rnacentral:rRNA from 1 species
AGAGUUUGAUCCUGGCUCAGGAUGAACGCUAGCAGCAGGCCUAAUACAUGCAAGUCGAGGGGUAACAGGGUAGCAAUACUGCUGACGACCGGCGCACGGGUGCGUAACGCGUAUGCAACCUACCUUUAACUGGGGGAUAGCCCCGAGAAAUCGGGAUUAAUACCGCAUAACACUGUGAUAUGGCAUCAUAUUACAGUUAAAACUCCGGUGGUUAAAGAUGGGCAUGCGUGACAUUAGUUAGUUGGUAGGGUAACGGCUUACCAAGACUACGAUGUCUAGGGGUUCUGAGAGGAUGAUCCCCCACACUGGUACUGAGACACGGACCAGACUCCUACGGGAGGCAGCAGUAAGGAAUAUUGGUCAAUGGACGCAAGUCUGAACCAGCCAUGCCGCGUGCAGGAAGACGGCCCUAUGGGUUGUAAACUGCUUUUAUAUAGGAAUAAACUCAUGUUCGUGAACAUGACUGAAGGUACUAUAAGAAUAAGGACCGGCUAACUCCGUGCCAGCAGCCGCGGUAAUACGGAGGGUCCAAGCGUUAUCCGGAUUUAUUGGGUUUAAAGGGUGCGCAGGCGGACCUAUUAGUCAGUGGUGAAAUCUCGGGGCUCAACUCCGAAACUGCCAUUGAUACUGUAGGUCUUGAGUUUGGUUGAAGUGGGCGGAAUGUAGCAUGUAGCGGUGAAAUGCAUAGAUAUGCUACAGAACACCGAUCGCGAAGGCAGCUCACUAAGCCAAAACUGACGCUCAGGCACGAAAGCGUGGGUAGCGAACAGGAUUAGAUACCCUGGUAGUCCACGCCGUAAACGAUGAUCACUCGUUGUUGACGACACAUUGUCAGUGACCAAGCGAAAGCGAUAAGUGAUCCACCUGGGGAGUACGUUCGCAAGAAUGAAACUCAAAGGAAUUGACGGGGGCCCGCACAAGCGGUGGAGCAUGUGGUUUAAUUCGAUGAUACGCGAGGAACCUUACCUGGGCUCAAAUGUAAGUUGACAGGUCCUGAAAGGGAUAUUUCUUCGGACAAUUUACAAGGUGCUGCAUGGUUGUCGUCAGCUCGUGCCGUGAGGUGUCAGGUUAAGUCCCAUAACGAGCGCAACCCCUAUUCUUAGUUGCCAUCAGGUCAUGCUGGGGACUCUAGGAAAACUGCCUACGCAAGUAGAGAGGAAGGUGGGGAUGACGUCAAAUCAGCACGGCCCUUACGUCCAGGGCUACACACGUGCUACAAUGGCCGGUACAGAGGGCAGCCAUCCCGCGAGGGAGAGCGAAUCUCGAAAGCCGGUCUCAGUUCGGAUCGAAGUCUGCAACCCGACUUCGUGAAGCUGGAAUCGCUAGUAAUCGCGCAUCAGCCAUGGCGCGGUGAAUACGUUCCCGGGCCUUGUACACACCGCCCGUCAAGCCAUGGAAGCUGGGGGUACCUGAAGUCGGUAACCGUAAGGAGCUGCCUAGGGUAAAACUAGUGACUGGGGCUAAGUCGUAACAAGGUA